rnacentral:lncRNA from 1 species
GAUUGAACCCAGAUAAGACCUAAGUGCCAUGUCAAUGGCCCCAAGAAAAAGGGAAGCUGUUCAUAGGCAAUAAUGUAGUGGGGUGAACAUUUUGCUCCUGGCAUGGCUUUCACCCAUAUAGAACUGCUUUCAAUUGUGAGCAAAGAGGGGGUUAAAGGAAUCAAUCUGGAAGUAGGAAAAGCUUUUCAGGUAUUAGGGAGAAGAGAGAAGCUUCAUGAGAUUCUUUACUGGACUCCAUCUUACCUUCAUCUCCUUCACAUAAACAGUUUUGUUUCCUGUUGCCUAAUCUGAUUGAUACUUGGGUUCUCAGCUGCAUAUUAUUCCAUCAACUGUAUAUUAUGCCCAUUUGCUGCAAAAUACAAGCCAAAUGAACUCCCUCAGAUUGUGGUGGACUCUCCUUCAUUGGAGGUUUUUAAGCAGAGGUUGGAUAGCUAUCUGUCUUGGAUGCUUUAUCUGAGAUCCCUGCAUUGCAGGGAGUUGGGCCUUCCAACUCCACAAUUCUCUGAUUCUGUGUUUCAAACAGAACUUUGCUCUGCCUGCAACUUCCUCCAGUAACAAGAUGCCCUCCUGUUUCUGGGACUGUUCAAGAAGAGGUAGCAUUUCCUGUCAAGUUUCACCCCUUGCAAAUCAUUUUUGGAAAUGAAAUAUCAGGUAUUGUUCUAGAAACAAAAUGCCAAUGAAACACUGACGAUAAUAUAUAGAGGGAUUUAAAAAAAAUGAUUAUUUCUGCUUCUUUUUCCUUUCUUUUCUAUGAGUCGAGUUCAAUAGAAUAUAUAGAUUAAUUGAGACUUCCAGGUCAGCACCAACGACGAAUGGCGGAGUUCCUCCGAUCGGAGGAACGGGCUGUGUGGAAAUUGGGUCUUCCCGCCGCGGCGAAGGUGAGGGCCCGCUAGAAAUCCCAGGCGGAGAAGCCUGGGAACGUGGGGUUCGGCAGAGCACCAAGAGAGCCUCCCCUACUCACGAGGAAACCCUUUUUGGGGCACCGGAGUGAAGUGGGGUGAGCAGCGCGGUGCUGCGAACCGAUCGCUAUUUCCAUGGAGGGAAGCCACGCAGCCAUCGCCGGAGAGCGCUGACUUUUUCCUGAUGACAUUUGGACUCUAAAUCAAGCACCCGUGAGUAAAAACGGAGAAUUGGAUUAAGAAACCUGCAAAAUUUAUGAAUUAGGCACGAAGCGGGAAGGUGUAAACAGGAAGUCCGCCUUCCGUUUUUGUAUAUAGAUUGAAGCAAAGACCUUGCAACCUAAUAGCCUGAAAAACUGCUUUAAAGUUGGAAAUUUCCUGCAUCCAUAACCAAUAAAACCCCCUUAGAAGCAGGAGAAAAGGGGGGGGAUUUGACUGUUUAAUCCUGCAGGAGGAGAGUAAAGGAAUUCAAACCUGGGGAUGGAGUGUCGGGACAGAAGCUGUUUGAGACGUCCAUUGAUUGAAAGUGGAGCACUUUGACAGAUAGUAAAAAAGAAAAGAAAAAGAGAAACAAAUUAACUUCAACGCUACUUUCUGCAUUUCUGCUUUUUAAAGAAACAAAGUAUUUGAAAUCGAAAGGAAUUGAAAUCGAAAGUAAUCUCCUUUGUUGGAUAUAUUUUAAAAAUGGAUACAAUUAGAAAUUGUGUUCCCUUGAGUGAGCCCGUCAGUUUGUUGUUGCAGCUUACUUGGAGACUCUGCAGAUGUGAGAUUUGGAUCGUGGGACCAGCCGUUUGACCUUGACUUUGAACAGAAAUGUGUUGGCAGGAAGGUUUGGUGUCUGCCCUUGGCAUGACUAAUGCUUUGCUGGAGCAGCUGCAUGAGAAAAUGAACUUGAUGCAUGAAAAAUUGGACCUGAUGAGUGCUGUGGCCAGUGAAUAUGAUUUAACAGGGAAUAAGGAUAAAGAAGUUAUACAGCGAUCAAUUCAGGAACCUGGUUUGACAAGGCAAGUCCAAGGGCAGAUGGAGAAAGAAGAGGCAGUGAUUACUCCUCAAACAACACAAAUGGAAAGAUCCAAAGUCCUGCAGGAACAAAAGCUACUGCGUUGGAAGAUUGAACUUGGAGACUGCCGGGAAGUAUUUGAAGUCAAGGAAGCUUUUAACUCUAGUGGGACUAUGAAACAGGUGAACAACUAUCUUCUGGAUAAAUAUUUUUUGGAUUACAAAGAUGAAGACGGGGAGUGGGACUGGGGGGAAGGGGCCAAUCUGAUGAAGGAAAAUGGAAACUAUUACCGGAUGGAACCCUCCGGAGACCCACUCCCCAGAAACCAACAAUUGACAAAGAAGUGCGCAAGCACAAACAGGAACAAAAAAAUUUGCAGAAGGGGCCUAGAAGAGAUUUAAGGGCCUCGGACAUUAGAACACCAGAUUGAUGGACUGGAUGUAAUGGACAGAAAGGACUGACAUGACCCGAAACCAGGAAGAAGGGACGUUGGAUAAAAAUUAGAGAUAUCAAGGGAAAUUCUUUUGUUAAUUUUGGAAUUAGUGCAACAUUAAUGAAAUUUGAGGGAAUGUGCUGGAAAGGAAUUAAAUUGGCUUUAGUAGAAAUGAUUUUAAGGAGAUAUGUAUGAAUAUGAUGUAAAUUUUGAAAAUUUAAGAUUUUUAAGAUAAGAUAAGGUUAAAGAGAUUAAGGUAAAUUGAAUAACAGACUAUAUUAAAAGAUGGAAAGGUUAUCUUGAUUAAUAAAUAAGAGAGAUUGUGAAGAUUAAUCAUUUAAAUUAAAAUUGAGAAACAUGGGAAGAAUUUGCUGAAAUAACGAAUUAAACUAGAAUACAAAAAGGGAGGUGUGAGGAGGUUCAAGAAUUAAGCAAAUGAAAAGUUGCAAUCUGAGAUUUGUAUCUUUCUUCUUUCUUUUUUGGGUUUUUUUCCUCUUGUUCUAUUUUUUGCUGUAUAUUUUUCCUCUUUUUUCUUUUUCCCCCCUCUGUGUUUCUUGUUUUUCUUUUUGUGUUUAUGUAUUGAUGAAAUUUUGAAUAAAUAUAAUUCAAAAUAUAUAUAUAUAGAUAGAUUAAUUGAAUAAACAAAGAGACAAAAAUAGUUUUGUUUUCCUAUAAGGGCAAAAGACCCCGCUUUCAUUUUUGUCUCAAUUUGUAGCAAUUUUACAAAAUUACUAUUUUAAUCAGUAGAGAUCUGUCAAGUGCCACACUGGGCAAGUUCUCAUGUAUCAAAGGAGAUGCAGCUGGAACGGAAACAGAUGAAAGGUGUAAAUGAGAAGAUUCAAUUAACAUUUCCCCCCCACCAGCACCAUUUCAGAAAGAAAAGAAAAAACAAAUCUUCUGGGAUUGAGGCUGAUCCUUUAAUUUAAUUACACUUUAAGAUCUGUUGUUGUCUUAAGAAAACCAUUCUAACAUUCACAAUUAAAUGCUUUAACGUACCAUCAGUAUGUUUUUGGUGUAUGUUUUCUUUUUGCUUGAAGAUGUUCUAUAGAAACCGAUCAAAAGCUAACAAAUCCAUUAAAUUAUAGUAUGUUAAGUAGUCACAUAAAUAUUCUGGUUUCAAAAAGCAGAAGCCCCACACACAGCCACAAGCACUGUGCAGUUCAGAAAAAAAUAAUAUAGGGCUAAGUGGACCCCUCUUCCUUCUCUUUUCCCUCAAGGUGUGGCUUCAGGUAUAUGGCCAUUGUCAUAUACGAGCCCAUAUUCAGUGGGAGGCCAGUGCAUUUGUACAUCGCUCCUCCCUAGAGCUAUUAUAAGUAGAAGAAGAGUUUGGAUUUGAUAUCCCGCUUUAUCACUACCCAAAGGAGUCUCAAAGUGGCUAACAGUCUUCUUUCCCUUCCUCCCCCACAACAAACACUCUGUGAGGUGAGUGGUGCUGAGAGACUUCAAAGAAGUGUGACUGGCCCAAGGUCACCCAGCAGCUGCAUGUGGAGGUGCGGAGAUGCGAACCCGGUUCACCAGAUUACAAGUCUAUCACUCUUAACCACUACACCACACUCUGUCCCACAAUCUCUCAGUCCUCCACCCAGGCAAACCAGGUCAUUGCCACAGCUCAGUGUUGGCUAUUUGCAGUGUAGUAGCGCUGCAGAGAGCUUGCUGGGGAGACCAUGCAUUAAAAAGGGACUCAAAAAUAACUUAAACAAGGUUUUAAUAACAAAACCAAAAACUCCUUAUACACUAAAUACAGAGUCUACCACUCUUAACCACUACACCACACUGGCUCCACUGUAUCCAUUUGUCUGUUUGUAUGGGAGGAAGGUAGAUCAUGCUUCAUGUAUAUCAAAGACUGUGGACAUCCAGUAAUUUUACUCAGAAGUGUUCAUUGGUGAAGCUUAACAGAAUUCUCUAUUAAUCGCAAAGCUGAAGCAUAAUGUGCACAGCUGCACAGCUGAAAUGCUCCAAAGUGUAGAAACCCCAAACCCAACAAAUUCUGCUCUCUCCCCACCCCCACCUUCCAUGCCAAUCAGAAUGGUGCUUCAAGCAAAUGUCAGCGUUAAGUUGUGGGUGAACAUAUCAGAUGACACAGCGAUUCUUCAAACAGCUCUUGUUUAUUCACAAGCCAGAACAGAACUGAACUGAAGGGUUCAGCCAGCCUGCUUAUAUAGAGCUCCACUAGAACGCAACAGUAACCAUUUUCUGUACCUAUCCAAUCACGGAACGUCACUUUCGAUCCCUUAUUUGCAUAUGUGGACCUGAGUGAAAACUAUCUACAGUAUCCCCCUGCUGGUCCAGGGUGAGAGCUCCAGUACAUAACAAUCAGAAUGUUUCCAUGGUGCAAAGUUCAAAAGGAUGGCAUGGCAUCUCUAAUCCAUCAUCCCCAUUCUUUAGUUGUCGAUCAUAUGCUCUGAGCCCUAUUUACAUAUAUGGGGGUGGAACCAGGAAUGACAACCAGAGCAGAAGACUUUCUGCCAGAAACUUUGGGCCCAUUCUGCUUCUUCUAUAAAGAAGACUGGAACAGAAGAGACCUGAUCUUCCCUUCUUUCUAUUGUCUUCUCCUAUAUGGGGAGACAAGCAGGAAAUGGAGGCCUAGUUGCCAUAAUUUGCCCCUCAAGAUUCUUUGUUCUUUUAAAUCUCUGGAUUAAGACGUUAGAUAGAAAAGGUGACUUAGUUCUUUAGAACAGAUGUGAGGGACUUUUGGCCCUCUGGAUGUUGAACCACAACUCUUGGCAAUUGGUCAUGCUUUCUGGGGCUGAUGAGUGGUGUACUACAACUGGAGGGGCAAAGCUUCCCUGCACCUGUUCUAGAUUCAAGGGCAGGUUAGUGAGCACAGAUGUGUUAGCUGCUGAAGCAUAAAAUCCCAGCUGCAUCCGGGCCUGGCAAGGGCAGCCUGGCCUGCACCACCAGCAGCUCCCCCUUCACAGGCUCCGGCUCAGUAGCUUUCUUUUGCGCGAAAGACGUGUGUCAUUUAGUGCCGAGUUCUCCUAGGAGCCAGCUGAUUCAUGCAAGAGUUCAGCACCAAAAAUAGGACAUCCAAUCAGAAGCCAGUAUGGAUUCCGUAAUUCCAGGAUGUCCCAGUCAAGUUGGGACUGUUGAUGGGUGUGCAUCUCUCCUAUGAGGACAGGUUGCAACCUUUAGAGCUUUUUUUAAAAAAAUAUUAAAAAGGUAAAGAACCCCUGACAGUUAAGUCCAGUUGCGAACGACUCUGGGGUUGCGGCGUUCAUCUCGCUUUACUGGCCGAGGGAGCUAGUGUACAGCUUCCGGGUCAUGUGGCCAGCAUGACUAAGCCCCUUCUGGCGAAACCAGAGCAGCACACGGAAACGCCGUUUACCUUCCCGCCAGAGCAGUACUUAUUUAUCUACUUGCACUUUGAUGUGCUUUCGAACUGCUAGGUUGGCAGGAGCUGGGACCGAGCAACAGGAGCUCACCCCAUCGCAGGGAUUCGAACCGCCGAACUUCCGAUCAGCAAGCCCUAGGCUCAGUGGUUUAACCCACAGCGCCACCACUUUUUACUUUAUAAAAAAGGCCAAUGGAGUUGAUGGUGGGGUAUAUAAGAUUAAGCAUGGUAUAGCAAAAAUGGAUAGGGAGAAAAUAUUCUCCCUCUCUCAGUACUAGAACUUGGGAACAUCCCAUGAAGCUGAAUGGUAGGAGAUUCAGAAUUGACAAAAAGAAGUACUUACAGCCUAAUGUUAAACUAUGGAAUUUGUUAGAAAUAAGGAUUUACAAAUGCAACUCAACCUGUUCCAACAUUCAUUUGUGCUUUCAUCUUGUAUUUUCUGUUCUGCUACAGUUGGUUUAUCUUUCUUUUGUUUCACCAUCUAUUGAUUCAGAAAUAUACUUAUUUUAAUGUAUAUCACAGCAGACAAUAUAUGUGCAUAUCUCAAUCAACAACAGACAUUUUAAAAAAUCAUUUAGCUUUCCAAGUUGAUGAAUUUCCAGAGGGGUGGCUGGUAGUCUCUUUAGCAAAAAUAAUAGUCUUGCGGCACCUUGAAGUGAUUUUAAGGGUAGAAUGUCAAACCCUUCACCUAUAUAUAUAAUUUUUCUGAAGAUCACGUUUUCCUGGUGCUCAUUCAUUUUCUUUGACCUGCUCCUGUCAACUCUUGAUUUACAAUAUUCAGUUCAGUUGUUCAUUCCACCUGUUCUAGUUCACUUCUGUUUCAAUAUACUGUAAUUGGCUGUACAACAUCCAGAAAUACUUUACUAGAACAAUGGUUAAAUUUUAAAAAAGGUAAAGGACCCCUGGAUGGUUAAGUCCAGUCAAAGGCGACUAUGGGGUUGCGGCGCUUGUCUCGCUUUCAGACCAAGGGAGCCCGCAUUUGUCUACAGAAAGCUUUCUGGGUCAUGUGGCCAGAAUAACUAAACCACUUCUGGCACAACAGAACACUGCCACAGAACACUGCCACCUAUUUAUCUACUUACACUGGCAUGCUUUCGAACUGCUAGGUUGGCAGGAGCUGAGACAGAGCAACAGGCGCUCACCCCAUCAUGCAGAUUUGAACCACUGACCUUCUGAUAGACAAGCGCAAGAGGCUCAGUGGUUUAGACCACAUCUACGCAUCUUACUGCAUUAUAUCUGAGAGAUAAUCAGCAUAACUUGUUCGGGAGGUGCGAGGACCCAUUAGACACAGAAGAGUGUUCUCACAGGAAUUACAAUAUCUCUCUUACAGUGCUUCUUCACUGUCAAGGAAAUAGAGAUGUUGGUUAGUUGUGUAUAAGGAUUGGAAGUAUGACUCUUACACCCUAACAGAGAUGGUAUAUUCCACUUUGGAGGGGGAAUCUUGCCAUCCUUUUGCGACUAUUUUCCAAAAGGUGACUGAGUCUCUCCUUCGAGAGGCCUUCAUUAAACAUUGCCACUCUCCCUCUGGGGCCUGAAGCUUUUUCUUUUUAAGCAAAGCUUUAUAAUUUCGUUUAGCUUCAAACAACUCUGCAGGGAGUGAGGGUAGAUUGGCAGACCUAUAGUUUCUGUAUUUUCCCAACAAAGAGCGCUUCAUAGCAAGGCAUUCCUAAUCGAACCAGGGUUUAGAUUUGUUGUAUAAUGGCCGCCGCGUUGCCUUUUUUUGUGUCAAAUAGGGUUGAAGAAGUGAAAUCAAAUCCUGAAACAAGUUUAUUCUCGUUUCAGAGCAUGAGGAGUUUAAGAGGUUGUCUCUCCUAAUGAGGAAUAUAUCUGAGUGAGUGCUUGCUGCCUUGUUCACCAGCAUAGAUCAAUCGGCUACCAUCCCAGAGGAUUGGGGACUAGCAAUCAUCAUCCCAAUAUACAAGAAAGGGAGCAGAUCGGACCCUGCUAAUUACAGGCCAAUUAGUCUCCCAAGCAUUAUCAGUAAACUAUAUGCUGGCCACUUAUGUAAUAAACUUGAGGAAAUAGA